AUUGAACGCUGGCGGCAGGCCUAACACAUGCAAGUCGAGCGGGGUGAUGGUGCUUGCGCUAUCACUUAGCGGCGGACGGGUGAGUCAUGCUUAGGAAUCUGCCUACUAGUGGGGGACAACAUCUCGAAAGGGAUGCUAAUACUGCAUACGUCCUACGAGAGAAAGCAGGGGAUCACUUGUGACCUUGCGCUAAUAGAUGAGCCUAAGUCGGAUUAGCUAGUUGGUGGGGUACAGGCCUACCAAGGCGACGAUCUGUAGCGGGUCUGGGAGGAUGAUCCGCCACACUGGGACUGAGACACGGCCCAGACUCCUACGGGAGGCAGCAGUGGGGAAUAUUGGACAAUGGGGGGAACCCUGAUCCAGCCAUGCCGCGUGUGUGGAGAAGGCCUUAUGGUUGUAAAGCACUUUAAGCGAGGAGGAGGCUCUUUUGGUUAAUACCCAAGAUGAGUGGACGUUACUCGCAGAAUAAGCACCGGCUAACUCUGUGCCAGCCGCCGCCGUAA
rnacentral:rRNA from 1 species